GGACGGGUGAGUAAUGCCUAGGAAAUUGCCCUGAUGUGGGGGAUAACCAUUGGAAACGAUGGCUAAUACCGCAUGAUGCCUACGGGCCAAAGAGGGGGACCUUCGGGCCUCUCGCGUCAGGAUAUGCCUAGGUGGGAUUAGCUAGUUGGUGAGGUAAGGGCUCACCAAGGCGACGAUCCCUAGCUGGUCUGAGAGGAUGAUCAGCCACACUGGAACUGAGACACGGUCCAGACUCCUACGGGAGGCAGCAGUGGGGAAUAUUGCACAAUGGGCGCAAGCCUGAUGCAGCCAUGCCGCGUGUGUGAAGAAGGCCUUCGGGUUGUAAAGCACUUUCAGUCGUGAGGAAGGUAGUGUAGUUAAUAGCUGCAUUAUUUGACGUUAGCGACAGAAGAAGCACCGGCUAACUCCGUGCCAGCAGCCGCGGUAAUACGGAGGGUGCGAGCGUUAAUCGGAAUUACUGGGCGUAAAGCGCAUGCAGGUGGUUUGUUAAGUCAGAUGUGAAAGCCCGGGGCUCAACCUCGGAAUUGCAUUUGAAACUGGCAGACUAGAGUACUGUAGAGGGGGGUAGAAUUUCAGGUGUAGCGGUGAAAUGCGUAGAGAUCUGAAGGAAUACCGGUGGCGAAGGCGGCCCCCUGGACAGAUACUGACACUCAGAUGCGAAAGCGUGGGGAGCAAACAGGAUUAGAUACCCUGGUAGUCCACGCCGUAAACGAUGUCUACUUGGAGGUUGUGGCCUUGAGCCGUGGCUUUCGGAGCUAACGCGUUAAGUAGACCGCCUGGGGAGUACGGUCGCAAGAUUAAAACUCAAAUGAAUUGACGGGGGCCCGCACAAGCGGUGGAGCAUGUGGUUUAAUUCGAUGCAACGCGAAGAACCUUACCUACUCUUGACAUCCAGAGAACUUUCCAGAGAUGGAUUGGUGCCUUCGGGAACUCUGAGACAGGUGCUGCAUGGCUGUCGUCAGCUCGUGUUGUGAAAUGUUGGGUUAAGUCCCGCAACGAGCGCAACCCUUAUCCUUGUUUGCCAGCGAGUAAUGUCGGGAACUCCAGGGAGACUGCCGGUGAUAAACCGGAGGAAGGUGGGGACGACGUCAAGUCAUCAUGGCCCUUACGAGUAGGGCUACACACGUGCUACAAUGGCGCAUACAGAGGGC
rnacentral:rRNA from 1 species